GCUCAGAUUGAACGCUGGCGGCAUGCUUUACACAUGCAAGUCGAACGGCAGCGGGGGCUUCGGCCUGCCGGCGAGUGGCGAACGGGUGAGUAAUGCAUCGGAACGUGCCCAUGUCGUGGGGGAUAACGUAUCGAAAGGUACGCUAAUACCGCAUACGUCCUGAGGGAGAAAGCGGGGGAUCUUCGGACCUCGCGCGAUUGGAGCGGCCGAUGUCGGAUUAGCUAGUAGGUGAGGUAAAGGCUCACCUAGGCGACGAUCCGUAGCGGGUCUGAGAGGAUGAUCCGCCACACUGGGACUGAGACACGGCCCAGACUCCUACGGGAGGCAGCAGUGGGGAAUUUUGGACAAUGGGCGCAAGCCUGAUCCAGCCAUGCCGCGUGAGUGAAGAAGGCCUUCGGGUUGUAAAGCUCUUUCGGCCGGGAAGAAAUCGUGGUCUCUAACAUAGGCCAUGGAUGACGGUAC
rnacentral:rRNA from 1 species